rnacentral:rRNA from 1 species
ACGGGUGAGUAAUACAUCGGAACGUAUCCUGGGGUGGGGGAUAGCCCGGCGAAAGCCGGAUUAAUACCGCAUACGCUCUGAGGAGGAAAGCGGGGGACCUUCGGGCCUCGCGCUCAAGGGGCGGCCGAUGGCGGAUUAGGUAGUUGGUGGGGUAAAGGCCUACCAAGCCGACGAUCCGUAGCUGGUCUGAGAGGACGACCAGCCACACUGGGACUGAGACACGGCCCAGACUCCUACGGGAGGCAGCAGUGGGGAAUUUUGGACAAUGGGGGCAACCCUGAUCCAGCAAUGCCGCGUGUGUGAAGAAGGCCUUCGGGUUGUAAAGCACUUUUGUCCGGAAAGAAAUCAUCGGAGCCAAUACCCCUGGUGGAUGACGGUACCGGAAGAAUAAGCACCGGCUAACUACGUGCCAGCAGCCGCGGUAAUACGUAGGGUGCGAGCGUUAAUCGGAAUUACUGGGCGUAAAGCGUGCGCAGGCGGUGCUGUAAGACCGAUGUGAAAUCCCCGGGCUUAACCUGGGAACUGCAUUGGUGACUGCAGCGCUGGAGUAUGGCAGAGGGGGGUGGAAUUCCACGU